rnacentral:rRNA from 1 species
AGAGUUUGAUCAUGGCUCAGAUUGAACGCUGGCGGCAGGCCUAACACAUGCAAGUCGAGCGGAAACGAGUUCUCUGAACCUUCGGGGAACGUGAACGGCGUCGAGCGGCGGACGGGUGAGUAAUGCCUGGGAAAUUGCCCUGAUGUGGGGGAUAACCAUUGGAAACGAUGGCUAAUACCGCAUAAUAGCUUCGGCUCAAAGAGGGGGACCUUCGGGCCUCUCGCGUCAGGAUAUGCCCAGGUGGGAUUAGCUAGUUGGUGAGGUAAGGGCUCACCAAGGCAACGAUCCCUAGCUGGUCUGAGAGGAUGAUCAGCCACACUGGAACUGAGACACGGUCCAGACUCCUACGGGAGGCAGCAGUGGGGAAUAUUGCACAAUGGGCGCAAGCCUGAUGCAGCCAUGCCGCGUGUAUGAAGAAGGCCUUCGGGUUGUAAAGUACUUUCAGCAGUGAGGAAGGUUCAUNNGUUAAUAGCGUAGGAUUGA